CGGACGGGUGAGUAACACGUGGAUAACCUACCUAUAAGACUGGGAUAACUUCGGGAAACCGGAGCUAAUACCGGAUAAUAUAUUGAACCGCAUGGUUCAAUAGUGAAAGACGGUUUUGCAGUCACUUAUAGAUGGAUCCGCGCCGCAUUAGCUAGUUGGUAAGGUAACGGCUUACCAAGGCAACGAUGCGUAGCCGACCUGAGAGGGUGAUCGGCCACACUGGAACUGAGACACGGUCCAG
rnacentral:rRNA from 1 species